rnacentral:misc_RNA from 1 species
GGUUAACAUUAAAAAUCAAAGGUACCAUUAUACAAACAAAUUCAGUUUUUAUUUAAAGCUUUGAAAAUGUUGUGAAAUUAAUUCCAAAUAUUAUGCAAUCCAAUAUACAUGCCAACAUGGCAUGGCUAAUCUACAUGAAAUCUAGAUAUGAAUUAUGAAAAAUAAUCACAUUGCAAGAAGCAAGAAAUUUAUAAAUAUUCACAGGCUCACACUUGAAUAUUGAAAAGCAACAACAGCUGAAAAGUAGA